rnacentral:rRNA from 1 species
UAGGUGGCGAGCGUUAUCCGGAAUUACUGGGUGUAAAGGGUGUGUAGGCGGAGAGGCAAGUCAGGCGUGAAAUACGUGGGCUCAACCCACGAACUGCGCUUGAAACUGUUUCCCUUGAGAGUGGGAGAGGUAAACGGAAUUCCUGGUGUAGUAGUGAAAUGCGUAGAUAUCAGGAGGAACACCGGUGGCGAAGGCGGUUUACUGGACCACAACUGACGCUGAGACACGAAAGCGUGGGGAGCAAA